rnacentral:rRNA from 1 species
AUUGAACGCUGGCGGCAGGCUUAACACAUGCAAGUCGAGCGGGCGGAGGACGGGCGAGUAAUGUCUGGGAAACUGCCUGAUGUAGGGGGAUAACUACUGGAAACGGUAGCUAAUACCGCAUACCAUCCGAUGUGAUCUGAUGGGAUUAGCUAGUAGGUGGGGAAAUGGCUCACCUAGGCGACGCUCCCUAGCAGGUCUGAGAGGGUGACCAGCCACACUGGAACGGAGACACGGUCCAGACUCCUACGGGAGGCAGCAGUGGGGAAUCUUGCACAAUGGGCGAAAGCCUGAUGCAGCCAUGCCGCGUGUGUGAAGAAGGCCUUCGGGUUGUAAAGCACUUUCGGCGAGGAGGCGUUACCCGAAGAGGAAGCAACGGCUAACUCCGUGCCAGCAGCCGCGGUAAUAC